rnacentral:tRNA from 1 species
GCCUGGGUGGCUCAGUCGGUUGAGUGGCCGACUUCAGCUCAGGUCAUGAUCUCUCGGUUCGUGGGUUCGAGCCCCACGUCGGGCU